GGGGGGGGGGGGGGAGCUGCACCAGGUUUGCAGCCUGAGUGCAUGCUGCCCAGAUUGUGCAGGCGGAGGGCUGCCAUUGUGGAGUAAUGUCCCCUACUGAAGUUGCAUAGUGGGCAAGCUUGCAGCAAUCCCAGGCGGCAUUGCUCUUCCUCACUGUGACAUGUCAUAUUGCUGUCUGUGUUAGGAUAACAUGGUGUCAUACAUGGAUGAAAGGAGCAGGAUGGUAUUGUGAAGGAGAUCCACUCUUCGGUCCUUAUCUUCAGCACAGAGAAACCAACAGAAGUGACCAUUCAUGCUUUGUGUCUGAGUCUUAAAACAGGGUCACUUUGACCUGGGGCACAUUGAGAGAUGAUAUUACCUGUGCAAUGAACUUAAACUUGAGCUUUUCUGGACAGAUGGCACUUAACGUUUGUCAUAUUUUGAGUUAGGAGUUCUUCAAGAAGCACACUGUGUCAAACGGUCGGAUGCAGGUUUCUGAUGCCUGUGCUGUUUACUUCUUUUGAUUUGUGCCAGUGAUUCUUUUCCCUCCAGUUUCUGUUCCCUCCUGCUGUUUUUGGCUCUAGCUAAUGCUAACAGUUUGCUAACCCCCCUACGAAGGCCUCAGACCUCAUAACACCAAACAAAUCUGCAUUGCUGCUUAAUAACUCUUAUUACAGUACAGCGGAGAGCCCCUAGUGCUCUGAUCAGCAUUGAUUGGUCUGGUGACCAGUUAAUGUCUCUACGUUGUGUAGGUAAGAGUAUUACUGUGCCUCAAAACAUGGAAGUCACUUUGUGUGUCCCACACACACACACACACACACACCAACAAACCCAAAUGUAAAUACAUGUGUGAGAACACAAUCUUUUACACACACACACACACACACAUUCAUGCACACAGACACACUGAGUGGUCAGGGAAUAUUUCAGGAUGAAUUCAGACUGUUUGGGCUGUGUUAUAAGUUGACAUAGAACUAGCUGGUGUCCAUUUUGUCUCGAUAUGUGGCAUCUGUUUUGUCUUUAGUCCACGGUUAGUUUCAGGUCUCUUAUUGUAGCAUCUCUCCCAACACUGACAGUGUUAAAUAACUACAUUUGAAGACCAGUGACCCUCUCAGGACGAGGUCCUUGAAGCUUGAGUAGAACGGUAGGUUUGCUGAAAGCGUUGCGUUGUACCACCCAUAGGAUCUAAACCAAUCAUUGGACACUGACAGUUUGGAGCUGUAUGAAGAUGCUAUGCUGAUCUUUUCGCCUAGUAUAAUGUUCUUGUAACACAUGUAUACAUUUUUGUCUUUGGCUGUGGUGUGAUGCUGAAUUGUCAGAUUUAAUAUUUGCAUGCACGCUCCAACAGAGCCCUUUUGUGAAUGGAUGAGAUUUUUUGAAAACAUUUUUCAAAUGUGUUUUUUGUUUUUGUACAGAAAAUUGAGCAACAUGAUUGUGUUUAUUAAGACCUGGAACACGCCUGUAACCUCACGGUGGAACGGGAGUUCCCUCCUGCAUUUUCACCAUUUACACAAACUGUAACGCUGAAGCCAGAAUACAGACUCUUGUUUUAUUUAUUAGAAGUACAUCAUUUUGUUUUGCAACUUCAACACACUGUCAUGACACACAUACAAUACUUUUUGGAAUUUGUUCUGAAAAUAAAACACAAGCUUUCAUGCCAUUAAAAUCCACAGCAGCUGUGACUAUUAAAGCCUCUAUUUUUCAUUACAAAGCCUCAACCAUCAGCAUAACAUCCGAGAUCGAAGUAGUCGCGGAUUGUUUACCAAAUACUGUGUAGAGAUGAAUGUUUUAGUAUUCUCCCACUACAAUGCAGGAGGAUGAACAACCUUGUCCCAACUGUAUAUAUGUAUGUAAACUGUGUUAGUGUCUAUAUGUCUGUUUUCACUAUAACCUAUGUCUAUAUACAUAAAUAAAAGGGUUUAUUAACUUA